GACAGAGGGUGCAAACGUUGCUCGGAAUUACUUGGGCGGUUAAAGCGCGUGUAGGCGGUUUCGCACGGUCCGGUGUGAAAGGCCCAGGGCUUCAACCCUGGAAGUGCACUGGAUACGACGGAGCUGGAGUACUGAAGAGGAGAGCGGAAUUCCCGGUGUAGAGGUGAAAUUCGUAGAUAGUCGGGAGGAACACCGGUGGCGAAGGCGGCGAUCUGGGUCGAUACUGACGGCUGAGGUGGCGAAAGCGAUGGGGAGCAAACAGGG
rnacentral:rRNA from 1 species